UGGGGAAUUUUGCACAAUGGGCGCAAGCCUGAUGCAGCGACGCCGCGUGGAGGAUGAAGGUUUUCGGAUUGUAAACUCCUGUUAAGUGGGAAGAAAGACUCCUAUCUAAUAAAUAGGGGGGAUGACGGUACCACUAGAGAAAGCACCGGCAAACUUCGUGCCAGCAGCCGCGGUAAUACGAAGGGUGCGAGCGUUAUUCGGAAUGACUGGGCGUAAAGAGCUUGAAGGCGGUCUAUUAAGUCGUCUGUUAAAGAGCCUAGCUUAACUGGGCAAGUGCGGAUGAAACUGAUGGACUAGAGUACAGAAGAGAAAGGUAGAAUUCUCGGAGUAGCGGUAAAAUGCGUAGAUCUCGAGAGGAAUACCGGUUGCGAAGGCGGCCUUUUGGUCUGUUACUGACGCU
rnacentral:rRNA from 1 species